GAUGAACGCUGGCGGCGUGCCUAAUACAUGCAAGUCGAGCGAACGGACGAGAAGCUUGCUUCUCUGAUGUUAGCGGCGGACGGGUGAGUAACACGUGGAUAACCUACCUAUAAGACUGGGAUAACUUCGGGAAAUCGGAGCUAAUACCGGAUAAUAUUUUGAACCGCAUGGUUCAAAAGUGAAAGACGGUCUUGCUGUCACUUAUAGAUGGAUCCGCGCUGCAUUAGCUAGUUGGUAAGGUAACGGCUUACCAAGGCAACGAUGCAUAGCCGACCUGAGAGGGUGAUCGGCCACACUGGAACUGAGACACGGUCCAGACUCCUACGGGAGGCAGCAGUAGGGAAUCUUCCGCAAUGGGCGAAAGCCUGACGGAGCAACGCCGCGUGAGUGAUGAAGGUCUUCGGAUCGUAAAACUCUGUUAUUAGGGAAGAACAUAUGUGUAAGUAACUGUGCACAUCUUGACGGUACCUAAUCAGAAAGCCACGGCUAACUACGUGCCAGCAGCCGCGGUAAUACGUAGGUGGCAAGCGUUAUCCGGAAUUAUUGGGCGUAAAGCGCGCGUAGGCGGUUUUUUAAGUCUGAUGUGAAAGCCCACGGCUCAACCGUGGAGGGUCAUUGGAAACUGGAAAACUUGAGUGCAGAAGAGGAAAGUGGAAUUCCAUGUGUAGCGGUGAAAUGCGCAGAGAUAUGGAGGAACACCAGUGGCGAAGGCGACUUUCUGGUCUGUAACUGACGCUGAUGUGCGAAAGCGUGGGGAUCAAACAGGAUUAGAUACCCUGGUAGUCCACGCCGUAAACGAUGAGUGCUAAGUGUUAGGGGGUUUCCGCCCCUUAGUGCUGCAGCUAACGCAUUAAGCACUCCGCCUGGGGAGUACGACCGCAAGGUUGAAACUCAAAGGAAUUGACGGGGACCCGCACAAGCGGUGGGGCAUGUGGUUUAAUUCGAAGCAACGCGAAGAACCUUACCAAAUCUUGACAUCCUUUGACAACUCUAGAGAUAGAGCCUUCCCCUUCGGGGGACAAAGUGACAGGUGGUGCAUGGUUGUCGUCAGCUCGUGUCGUGAGAUGUUGGGUUAAGUCCCGCAACGAGCGCAACCCUUAAGCUUAGUUGCCAUCAUUAAGUUGGGCACUCUAAGUUGACUGCCGGUGACAAACCGGAGGAAGGUGGGGAUGACGUCAAAUCAUCAUGCCCCUUAUGAUUUGGGCUACACACGUGCUACAAUGGACAAUACAAAGGGCAGCGAAACCGCGAGGUCAAGCAAAUCCCAUAAAGUUGUUCUCAGUUCGGAUUGUAGUCUGCAACUCGACUACAUGAAGCUGGAAUCGCUAGUAAUCGUAGAUCAGCAUGCUACGGUGAAUACGUUCCCGGGUCU
rnacentral:rRNA from 1 species